rnacentral:rRNA from 1 species
UACGAAGGGUGCAAGCGUUACUCGGAAUUACUGGGCGUAAAGCGUGCGUAGGUGGUUUGUUAAGUCUGUUGUGAAAGCCCCGGGCUCAACCUGGGAAUGGCAAUGGAUACUGGCAAGCUAGAGUGCGGUAGAGGGUAGUGGAAUUCCCGGUGUAGCGGUGAAAUGCGUAGAGAUCGGGAGGAACACCGGUGGCGAAGGCGGUUCUCUGGGCAUUACCUGACGCUGAGGAGCGAAAGUGUGGGGAGCGAACAGG